rnacentral:rRNA from 1 species
AUUACCCMCSCCSSCCGCMAGUGUGAKAGRAWAUYKUGYWKYRWKKSGCCCUUAGAGUUUGAUCCUGGCUCAGAACGAACGCUGGCGGCGUGCCUAACACAUGCAAGUCGAACGUGAUCCAGAGCUUGCUCUGGUGAAAGUGGCGCACGGGUGAGUAACGCGUGGAUAACCUACCCUGGUAUCCGGGAUAACAUUCCGAAAGGGGUGCUAAUACCGGAUAAGCCCACGGGCUCUUUGGAGCUUGCGGGAAAAGGUGGCCUCUAUUUAUAAGCUACUGUAUCAGAUGGGUCCGCGUACCAUUAGCUAGUUGGCGGUGUAACGGACCACCAAGGCGACGAUGGUUAGCUGGUCUGAGAGGAUGAUCAGCCACACUGGACUGAGACACGGUCCAGACUCCUACGGGAGGCAGCAGUGAGGAUUUUGCGCAAUGUGGAACCUGACGCAGCACGCCGCGUGAGUGAUGAUGCUUGGUCGUAAGCUCUGUCAGAGGGAGAAUGAUAUAGUGCUAUACACUUAUCUGACGUACCUCAAGAGCACGCUACUCGUGCAGCAGCGCGUAUACAGCGAUCAGCACACUGCGCAGUACUAGUGAUCGAGCUCGUACAGCUGCGUAUCAUGUCAUASUGGGUCGUGAG